UAAACUAAAAUAAUGAGUUCACAUGACCUUUCCAAGCGUGCGCGAACCCACUAUUUGAACCCCGGAACACCGUACCAUCGGCUUGCCCAACUACUCGGCGAUCACGGGGAGUCUACGCGACCGGCUUUAUGAAAGGCUAUUAGAACAAACAGCCAUGAAGGUGUGGCUGUCAACACUCAUUAGUGCUGCUGUCACCAUCACCACUCCGAAUAAUUGGUUGGCUGUAAUAUGCUGGAUGCUGGUGCUCCAACUACAGCACGCCAUGAAUACCAAUGUGGCAUCCCAGCAUGAAAAGACAUGCAGACAUAUUGUUGCUGUCAGGUGGAAAAACAUGAGGUUUCCAGGAAGAAUUAAAGGGAGAGUGGUAAAGUAUUAUUCUUUGACUAAGCAGCUGCCAAAUUUGUGUUGCCAAAUGUGAAUACAAUUACAAGGACAUCUAACAUA